UUCUCUGUGUGCUUGGCUGUCUUGAAACUUGCAGGAUGGAGCAUGAUGUUGAAAGACCCCCGAAGGGAGACCCUCUCUCAAGCCUCGGGACAGCCGCGGACCCAAGAAGACACCGAGACCG
rnacentral:pre_miRNA from 20 species